CCUACGGGGGGCUGCAGUGGGGAAUAUUGGACAAUGGGGGCAACCCUGAUCCAGCCAUGCCGCGUGUGUGAAGAAGGCCCUCGGGUUGUAAAGCACUUUCAGCGAGGAAGAACGCCUGGUGGUUAAUACCCAUCAGGAAAGACAUCACUCACAGAAGAAGCACCGGCUAACUCCGUGCCAGCAGCCGCGGUAAUACGGAGGGUGCGAGCGUUAAUCGGAAUUACUGGGCGUAAAGCGCGCGUAGGUGGCUUGAUAAGCCGGUUGUGAAAGCCCCGGGCUCAACCUGGGAACGGCAUCCGGAACUGUCAAGCUUGAGUGCAGGAGAGGAAGGUAGAAUUCCCGGUGUAGCGGUGAAAUGCGUAGAGAUCUGGAGGAAUACCAGUGGCGAAGGCGGCCUUCUGGACUGACACUGACACUGAGGUGCGAAAGCGUGGGUAGCAAACAGGAUUAGAUACCCGAGUAGUC
rnacentral:rRNA from 1 species